rnacentral:rRNA from 1 species
AACGAACGCUGGCGGCAGGCUUAACACAUGCAAGUCGAGCGCCCCGCAAGGGGAGCGGCAGACGGGUGAGUAACGCGUGGGAAUCUACCCAUCUCUACGGAAUAACGCAUGGAAACGUGUGCUAAUACCGUAUACGUCCUUCGGGAGAAAGAUUUAUCGGAGAUGGAUGAGCCCGCGUUGGAUUAGCUAGUUGGUGGGGUAAAGGCCUACCAAGGCGACGAUCCAUAGCUGGUCUGAGAGGAUGAUCAGCAACACUGGGACUGAGACACGGCCCAGACCCCUACGGGAGGCAGCAGUGGGGAAUAUUGGACAAGGGGCGCAAGCCUGAUCCAGCCAUGCCGCGUGAGUGAUGAAGGCCCUAGGGUUGUAAAGCUCUUUCACCGGUGAAGAUAAUGACGGUAACCGGAGAAGAAGCCCCGGCUAACUUCGUGCCAGCCGCCGCAGUAACAC